rnacentral:rRNA from 1 species
CACGUAGGGCGCAAGCGUUGUCCGGAAUUAUUGGGCGUAAAGAGCUCGUAGGCGGUCUGUCGCGUCGGCUGUGAAAUCUCGGGGCUCAACCCCGAGCCUGCAGUCGAUACGGGCAGACUAGAGUGCUGUAGGGGAGACUGGAAUUCCUGGUGUAGCGGUGAAAUGCGCAGAUAUCAGGAGGAACACCGGUGGCGAAGGCGGGUCUCUGGGCAGCAACUGACGCUGAGGAGCGAAAGCGUGGGGAGCGAACGGG